GACGAACGCUGGCGGCGUGCUUACCACAUGCAAGUCGAACGGAAAGGCCCUGCUUUUGUGGGGUGCUCGAGUGGUGAACGGGUGAGUAACACGUGAGUAACCUGCCCUUGACUUUGGGAUAACUUCAGGAAACUGGGGCUAAUACCGGAUAGGAGCUCCUGCUGCAUGGUGGGGGUUGGAAAGUUUCGGCGGUUGGGGAUGGACUCGCGGCUUAUCAGCUUGUUGGUGGGGUAGUGGCUUACCAAGGCUUUGACGGGUAGCCGGCCUGAGAGGGUGACCGGCCACAUUGGGACUGAGAUACGGCCCAGACUCCUACGGGAGGCAGCAGUGGGGAAUAUUGCACAAUGGGCGGAAGCCUGAUGCAGCAACGCCGCGUGCGGGAUGACGGCCUUCGGGUUGUAAACCGCUUUCGCCUGUGACGAAGCGUGAGUGACGGUAAUGGGUAAAGAAGCACCGGCUAACUACGUG
rnacentral:rRNA from 1 species